AGCCCCGGCAGAUAUUACUCUGCAUCUUCGGAUUUGCAAUCCAACAUGUUAUACACCACAAGGCU
rnacentral:tRNA from 1 species